UGGGGAAUAUUGCACAAUGGGCGCAAGCCUGAUGCAGCAACGCCGCGUGAGGGACGACGGCCUUCGGGUUGUAAACCUCUUUUGGCAGGGAAGAAGCGAAAGUGACGGUACCUGCAGAAAAAGCACCGGCUAACUACGUGCCAGCAGCCGCGGUGAUACGUAGGGUGCAAGCGUUGUCCGGAAUUAUUGGGCGUAAAGAGCUCGUAGGCGGUUUGUCGCGUCUGCUGUGAAAACCCGAGGCUCAACCUCGGGCCUGCAGUGGGUACGGGCAAACUAGAGUGCGGUAGGGGAGAUUGGAAUUCCUGGUGUAGCGGUGGAAUGCGCAGAUAUCAGGAGGAACACCGAUGGCGAAGGCAGAUCUCUGGGCCGUAACUGACGCUGAGGAGCGAAAGCAUGGGGAGCGAAC
rnacentral:rRNA from 1 species